rnacentral:rRNA from 1 species
GAUGAACGCUGGCGGCGUGCCUAAUACAUGCAAGUCGAGCGAACAGAUAAGGAGCUUGCUCCUUUGACGUUAGCGGCGGACGGGUGAGUAACACGUGGGUAACCUACCUAUAAGACUGGGAUAACUUCGGGAAACCGGAGCUAAUACCGGAUAACAUUUGGAACCGCAUGGUUCUAAAGUGAAAGAUGGUUUUGCUAUCACUUAUAGAUGGACCCGCGCCGUAUUAGCUAGUUGGUAAGGUAACGGCUUACCAAGGCAACGAUACGUAGCCGACCUGAGAGGGUGAUCGGCCACACUGGAACUGAGACACGGUCCAGACUCCUACGGGAGGCAGCAGUAGGGAAUCUUCCGCAAUGGGCGAAAGCCUGACGGAGCAACGCCGCGUGAGUGAUGAAGGGUUUCGGCUCGUAAAACUCUGUUAUUAGGGAAGAACAAAUGUGUAAGUAACUGUGCACGUCUUGACGUUACCUAAUCAGAAGGCCACGGCUAACUACGUG